rnacentral:rRNA from 1 species
UACGUAGGGCGCAAGCGUUUGUCCGGAAUUUAUUGGGCGUAAAGAGCUCGUAGGCGGUUGUCGCGUCGACUGUGAAAACUCGGGGCUCAACUCCGAGCUUGCAGUCGAUACGGGCAGGCUAGAGUUCGGUAGGGGGAGACUGGAAUUCCUGGUGUAGCGGUGAAAUGCGCAGAUAUCAGGAGGAACACCGGUGGCGAAGGCGGGUCUCUGGGCCGAUACUGACGCUGAGGAGCGAAAGCGUGGGGAGCGAACAGG